GCAUCCGUAUGGGCAAAAACCUUCCACGCUCCCCCUCCUCCAAACCCAGGUUUUCCCUGGCAGCUGGAAAAUUCCCAAGCCAACCCAGAAUUUGCUUUGCAGAUCAGCGGAGCUGUGCCAGCGAAGCACCCGAGGGGAGAUGAGUUUCACGGCCCGCACCCUGCGAACGGCACGGCGCCGACCCCAGCACUCAAGCCGGCGCUCGGCAUCUCAGCUGCCAAAACCUGUCCACCGCCCUCCUGGAUGCACGUUCCUCGUUCCUCCGCCCGGCUCCUGCAGCUGCUUGUCCCAGGACCGAGAGACGGGCCCGGAAGGUUUGGCUGUGGCACAGACCUGCCCGGCCAGCAGCACGCCGGGACCUGCCACCGCGUCCCACGCAGCCAAAAGCUCACCUGUCGGAGCUGGCCACGGGCUCGGAAGAUGCAGGGUCACCCCUCGUGUGCCUGUCACCCCCAGCCACAACCUGGUGGGUGUGAAGGACACCCACGCCACCAGGCACAGUUAAAACCAUGGCCUCAGCCCCUCUGUUACUCGGACACAGAGGAUCUCACCGGUGUCUGUGCCAAAACAGUGUGUAACUUUACCUAAGAGCAACUUU